AGUUAAGCUGUCUCUCAGUGGGCAGUCUCUACCCACCAGGAUGAAAGGCCUUUUCCUAUUGGUCACUCUCGAUUGAAGUCACAGGUUGACCACGCCCACUCAGUUUCCCCGCAAUCCGCUGCACUGCCGCCGCAGUCUGACAGAAGAGCGAGCAAGGGUGCAUCAUGACGAGCAACAGGUCGUGUACUGGGAAGAUUUGGUGUUGAUGGAGGAGGCAACAUCUUCAAGGCAAAACCUUAGACCUGAUGCAACAUCAUCCAUACAUGAUGCAUACAUUUUUAUCUUUAAUGUGUAGGCACUUGAAGACCAGUGCCCAAUAUGCACAGGAACAUUUCCAGUGUCAGAAGUAGACCUGCCAUGCCAGCUUUUGUGGAGACAGUGAGGAGGAUGUGAUUCGUCAUGCAGCAGCACAGAUAAACACCACAAAGACAUCUGAAGUCUGUCACGAGAUAACACGUCUGAAGUUGUGUAA